UACGAAGGGUGCAAGCGUUACUCGGAAUUAUUGGGCGUAAAGAGCUCGUAGGCGGUUAGUCGCGUCUGCUGUGAAAACUCGGGGCUUAACCCUGGGCCUGCAGUGGGUACGGGCUGACUAGAGUGCGGUAGGGGAGACUGGAAUUCCUGGUGUAGCGGUGAAAUGCGCAGAUAUCAGGAGGAACACCGGUGGCGAAGGCGGGUCUCUGGGCCGUAACUGACGCUGAGGAGCGAAAGCGUGGGGAGCAAACAGG
rnacentral:rRNA from 1 species